CCAGACUCCUACGGGAGGCAGCAGUAAGGGAUAUUGGUCAAUGGGGGAAACCCUGAACCAGCAACGCCGCGUGAGGGAAGACGGUUUUCGGAUUGUAAACCUCUGUCCUCUGUGAAGAUGAUGACGGUACCCAAAGAGGAAGCUCCGGCUAACUACGUGCCAGCAGCCGCGGUAAUACGUAGGGAGCGAGCGUUGUCCGGAAUUACUGGGUGUAAAGGGAGCGUAGGCGGGGAUGCAAGUUGGAUGUUUAAACUAUCGGCUCAACCGGUAAUUGCAACCAAAACUGCAACUCUUGAGUGAAGUAGAGGCAGGCGGAAUUCCUAGUGUAGCGGUGAAAUGCGUAGAUAUUAGGAGGAACACCAGUGGCGAAGGCGGCCUGCUGGGCUUUAACUGACGCUGAGGCUC
rnacentral:rRNA from 1 species